rnacentral:rRNA from 1 species
UACGUAGGGUGCAAGCGUUAAUCGGAAUUACUGGGCGUAAAGCGUGCGCAGGCGGUUUGGUAAGACAGAUGUGAAAUCCCCGGGCUCAACCUGGGAAUUGCAUUUGUGACUGCCCGACUAGAGUGUGUCAGAGGGGGGUAGAAUUCCACGUGUAGCAGUGAAAUGCGUAGAGAUGUGGAGGAAUACCGAUGGCGAAGGCAGCCUCCUGGGAUAACACUGACGCUCAGGCACGAAAGCGUGGGGAGCAAACAGG